UUUUUUUCUUUCUUUGUAAUUGUGUGUGUGAUAUGCAAUUGGACACCUUUAAAAGAGAAAUUAUUUAUUAUUUUUUUCAAGGGUUAAAUUAUAUCGUUGAUUUGUUGCAAAUGUUAUGAAUUGAUUUCAUGUGUAUAGAUACACGUACAAGGAUUUUUUUUUUCUUCCGUUGGUGCAGAAGGAGAUAGCUUUUCUCAUCAUUGUUGUUUGAUGUACACUUUUCAGGGAUUGUUUUUUUUUCUGUAGAAGAGGUGUAACCUCCUUGAGUAGUGUUAGCACUAGACAGACAAGUUACUCUCAUUCUAAGCUCACACACAACCCGAAAAUAUUUACAGCCUCUUUGUCAUGUGUCUGACAUUUUCUAGAUUUUGUUCUCAUCAAAACACUGGUACUUACAUGUAAUAAAAGAAAAAUUAUUUUG
rnacentral:misc_RNA from 1 species